CCACUGAUGGCACCUCUUGGGCAGGCGCUGCUGAGGGAAGCCCAGCAGCAGGGACAUGGUUAAACCCAUCUCUCCUGGGUCAUUCCCAGCCCUGCUGCCCCGGCAGGAAGAGGGGUCCCGGGGGUCCGUGGGAAAGGCCGGCUCAGCAGCGCUCUGCAUUCCUGCAGGGAUCCUGUGGCCCCUCCGGCCCGUCCGCGGGGCUGUGGCAGCGCUCCAGGGCUCGUCUGCACCCGGAGCGGGCCGGGGGUCCUGACUGUGGGCUUGCCUCAGGACCGGGGAGUGGGGGACCCUCAGCUCCACCUCUGAAAAUUGCUGCCAUCUCCCAAGUGCUGCUGAGGCUCCACUGCUGUGAAUCCCAUUGCUCUUGGCUUUCCUUGGAGCUGGGGUGGUGGGGGUGUGCUGGGCACAUUGUGUUUGCCCAGCACUCAGGGUUGUGGGUGGUGCUGGCAUUUUAAAACCAAUGGGGCUGAUGCCCUGGGGAGAAGCCUUUGCCAGAACUGUGCUUCUUCUCAGAGCCAGAGCAGCACUUCUGGUCCCCAGCUUCUCUCUGGACAGAGGAGAGGCUGGAGGGGGGACUGAGCCUAGACAUGAGGGGUAGCAGUCCUUGAGUAUGAGAAUCAAAUCUAUAACAAAAUUAUUUCUGUUCUUUUUUUCUUUCUUUUCACAGAGUUUCACAUUUCUGGAAGAUAGGAAAGAUGCAGGCAGCCCAUGGACACUGGUUCUGACAGCCCUGGAAAUGGGGGAACCUGGAGUCCAGGGUUGCUCUGCUGCUUUUGGCACAGGGCUCAGGACAGGCCUUGGGGAUUGUGGCUCUGGCACCGGAGUCAGGAGGAGAGUGGCUGCCCACAGUGUUGGCCAGAGCCUUGGUGCCAUGAAAAGGGAAACCUGCCAUGCAGGGAGCCCAUGGGAUGUGAUAGGGAGUCUCCAGUCCCCUGAUUGGAGGGCAAUGCCCAGGGGCCUCUUGUUUUCAUCCAGCAUUCAUUUCCCAUGUAUUGUUCUGGAAGAGCAGAAAGGAAAGGCUCACAGACUGGCCAUGCACAUGAAAACUGCAUCCUCAGAAUAAACUCCUGCCAAUAGCGGCACCAGGACCCUCCAAAAGGGGUUGGGAGGUGCUCUGCAGAUGUCACUGAGCAGUGACUCCUCU
rnacentral:lncRNA from 1 species